rnacentral:rRNA from 1 species
UACAUGCAGUCGAGCGAAUGGAUUAAGAGCUUGCUCUUAUGAAGUUAGCGGCGGACGGGUGAGUAACACGUGGGUAACCUGCCCAUAAGACUGGGAUAACUCCGGGAAACCGGGGCUAAUACCGGAUAACAUUUUGAACCGCAUGGUUCGAAAUUGAAAGGCGGCUUCGGCUGUCACUUAUGGAUGGACCCGCGUCGCAUUAGCUAGUUGGUGAGGUAACGGCUCACCAAGGCAACGAUGCGUAGCCGACCUGAGAGGGUGAUCGGCCACACUGGGACUGAGACACGGCCCAGACUCCUACGGGAGGCAGCAGUAGGGAAUCUUCCGCAAUGGACGAAAGUCUGACGGAGCAACGCCGCGUGAGUGAUGAAGGCUUUCGGGUCGUAAAACUCUGUUGUUAGGGAAGAACAAGUGCUAGUUGAAUAAGCUGGCACCUUGACGGUACCUAACCAGAAAGCCACGGCUAACUACGUGCCAGCAGCCGCGGUAAUACGUAGGUGGCAAGCGUUAUCCGGAAUUAUUGGGCGUAAAGCGCGCGCAGGUGGUUUCUUAAGUCUGAUGUGAAAGCCCACGGCUCAACCGUGGAGGGUCAUUGGAAACUGGGAGACUUGAGUGCAGAAGAUGAAAGUGGAAUUCCAUGUGUAGCGGUGAAAUGCCUAAGAU